GACAUCAUAAGCCGACGAAUGCGUACAAUCAUGCCUCCGCCAUCCCAGAAUCUACGAGAGUACAUGGAAUACAUUUAAGUCAAUGUUGUAAGAAUGAGGCUUAGUGAUGAAAGACCCCAACUUUCGUAUUUCUAAAAGACCCAAACUUUCAUACUAUUACAACAUUAUUCUUAAGUUACUUCCUCAAAACAUGCUACAUGCAUAUUUAUAAAACAAUAUUUUAUAUUGAUAAAGUGAUUACAAAAGAUUGGAUACAAACCGACUAAGUUUUAUUACAUUACAUAUCUACCCAGGAAUCUACUAUUUAUAUACAUACAUGAACAUUAAAAUACAGAGAAAUAAUAUUAACUACUCUAAAUCUUUCAGCGGUAUAAAACUAUACUGGAUACUCAUCACCUGCAAUUGUUUAACAUUGAGAGGGAUAAGCGAUAACGCUUAGUGAAUUCAAUAAACAGAUACAAUANAUAGCCCUGUCUAACCAUUUGCCAAUACCAUAGAAUAGAGGUCAUUCUCUUACGGAGUCAUGCUCUACAUGGUCAGAGGCUACAUACCAGUCCCAUCUAACCUUUUGCCAAUGCCUUAGAAUAGAAUUCAUUCUCUUACGAGACAUGUUCUACAUGGUCAGAGGCUACAUACCAGUACCACCGUGAAUCCAAGUCCUUUCAUUGAUCACAUGGUCAAAGGUAUAACUUUGCUAUUAAAAAUAGCAAAUAGAAUAGCACGGGGAAAUAACCCAGAAUAAUAACACUGAAAAGCACAUAACACAUAUAACACAUAACAUACAAUUGUUCCUAUAUAUUGAACUCACCUUGAAUUAACCGGGGGUCAAAAUAAUAAUUUGUGCAACAUUUCGGCUCUAAAUAUGACUUUAUUCAUUGAAAACUUGGAGCUUUACUAAAAAACCAGGCUCUGCGGAGGUAGAGCUUCAAAACCGAAAAGAUAAAUUUUUCGGGCUCCACGAGCACUUCGGGGCAUGUUUCGGGUGUUAAAAUCGACACUGGGGCUUUGGGGGAUGUCAAAAUAGUAAAAAUAUUGAAAAUUGGGUGAAAAAUGGCAAUUUCUUAAAAUUACCCGAGAAGGCUCGCAAGCCUUGUAUUUAUAGGGCAAGGAUGCGAGGGUUCGGCCGAGAAGGGGUGAGUCAGCGAGGGCAGGUGGCAACAGGGGGCGAAGGCACGCGGCGCACAUGCGAAGGGCCAUCUGUACAAAGCUCGGACGUGACACGAAGCGAGGCACGUCGGACGGGGAUAGGCUUCGGCCUCGAUCAAUUCAGAAGGCAACACGCAUCGUACGUUCGGACGCACAGCGCAUCAGAUGACGUGGCCGGUUCUGGAUAAGGCUUAUCCAUGCGAGUUUAUCCGAAAUUCUCGGAUUUUGAGCUAAAAUCUUCCGAAAUUCAUAACUUUCGCAUAUGAACACCGUUUUUGAUGUUCUUUAUAUGCACGCGUAGCUAAAAUUAUACUCUACAACUUUCGUUUAGACUUUGUUGGCUAAUUUUGACUUUACUUUUAAUAUUAUUAUUUUUAACAGACUGGGACUGGAAAAUCCGUUAAAAUCCAUAACUUCUUCAUCCGACAUCCGUUUUCGUCAGACUUUUUACCGUUGUACUACAAAUGAUGAGACCUUCAAUUCUCAUUUAGGUUGUGUUGGCUAAAAAUCACUCGAUCUAAAAUUCGAGUUUUUAGCUGUCUACUGCUAUUCCGAAACUUAGAAAAAUCAUAACUUCCUCAUACGACGUCAGAUUUUGACGUUCUUUUUAUCGAACUUCUCGGUUUAACGAAUACUACAAAUAUCAUUUAGAUCACUAAGGCUAAAAAAUAGUUUAUCAAAAACUCACUUUUUACGUCAUUCGGCGUCAUGUCGGUUUUGUCGCAGAUCUUCGAGUGGUCAUAACUUCUUUGUUAUAACUCAGAUUUCGAUGAGGUUUUCGCCUAAAUGUUUCUAACGAGAUUAUCUUCAACUUUCAAUAAUAAAAUUUUACUUAUUCAAAAUUUUAUAUUUUCGUUAAAUUUCACUAUUUGUCUAUUAAUUGGAAUCUCAUAAGACUUCCAAUAUUUUAUGAGUGAUUCUAAACAUAGUUUUACUUCAUUUCUAGUAAAAACUAUCCGUUAGACCUCAACACUCAAUUUUAUUCACUUUAAAUAAUAACAAUACACAAUUUCAGAACGUGUAUAUUACAAAUACCUCCUCCUUUUGAGGAUUUCGUCCCCGAAAUCAUAACGAUUAAAACAAAUGGGGAUACUUUGCUCUUAUCUCAUUCUUAUUUUACCCAAGUAUAAUUUAGGCCUAGAUGGUGUUUCCACCUUGAAAAGCACCAACUUCACUUCUUUAUUACGUAGAUUAGUCGUUCUUUCAUUUACGAUUUCUUCUACUUAACUUAUUGUCCAGUUUCUCUUAGGAUAACGGAAUCGUUUCUUCAUAUACGCUCAAGCAUUUGCACAGAUAACUCACAUGAAAUUCAUCAUAAAUACCUGCAAAAUCUUCAGGCAAUCCCAAGCGGUAUGCUUGUUUACCUAUUUUCUGAAUGAUUUUGGAAGGAUUAACAAAUCCAAGACUUUGUUUUCCUUUCUUUCAAAAUCGUACAGUUCCUUUCCAUGUGGAUACCUUUAGUAUUACGAAUUCACUCUCCUAGAAUUCUAUAGGUCAUCUUCUCUUUUCUGCAUAGAACUUUUGUCGAUCCUAGGCCACUUUCAUUCCUUCUCAUACCAAUUCAAUCUUAUCAGUGGUAUCUCGAAUCAUUUCAGAGCUUCCAAGGAUUUUCUGGCCUACGUCUCGCCAACAUAAUGGCGUGUGGCAUCUGUGCCAUAUAAAUCUUCAUAUGGUGGCAUUUUGAUUGAAGCAUGGUAACUGUUAUUAUACGAAAAUUCUACAAGAUUAAGUACUUGUCUCAACUACCACCGAAUUCCAAGACACAUGCAUGAAGCAUAUCUUUUACUGUUUGGAUAGUUCUCUCUGUCUGACCAUAUGUCUAGGGAUGAUAAACUGUGCUGAGAGCAACUCAAGAUCCCAAUUCAUACUUGCCCAAAAGUGAGAAGUGAAGCGAGUAUCACGAUCGAAAAUCAUCUUUAGUGGCACACCAUGUCUCACCACAAUUUCGUCUAAGUAAACUUGUACGUAUUUCUCCAUUAGGACCGUUGUACGUAUGGCGAGAAAAUAUGCACUCUUAGUCAGCUUGUCGACAAUUACCCAAAUGUUAUCAUUCUAUAUAGCAGUCUCUGGCAGUUAGAGUAGCACCACGCAUAAGGUCAAUUCGGAAUUCUACUUGCCUAUUCAGGGGUAAUCCAGACAAUUCGUCGGGGAAAACAUCACGAUAUUCAUUAACAACGGGAACAACAUUCAUAGUUUUAUUCUCCUCUCAAGGUAUCAACUAUAUAAGCCGGAUAAAUAGAAUAUCUCUUCGAUAUAAAUUUACGAGUUUUAAGAAAGAAGUUAUUAUUUUCAAUGUAGACAUAAAUUGAAUCCUCUUCUUCGAUAGGGAUGCUCACCAUCUGUUCGUAGCACAAGAGAUCUGCGUGGUUCUUUAAUAAUCGAUCCAUAUCGAGAAUAAUAUCAAAAUUGGGCAUGAAGAUAGGAAUCAGGUUAGCAAGAAGAUUAUAACCUUUAAUUCUUAUGACAUAAUCUCUAUAGACUUUAUCAGCAAUUAAUGAUACUCUUCCUAUGAUAUCUACAUGAAAUAAUUGAACAAAUGCGUAACAAGCAAUUUGAAAUGAAUACUCGAAUUCUCAAGACACUAAAGUGUGACAUCCCCAAUUUCACGGACAGAAAAGACCGAUUUGUUUAUGCUUUGUUUUUAUAAAAUCAGAGUAAUCUUUUGAUUAAAAGAGUUGUGGAAUUUGUUCCCAAAAUAAAAUAUGGUAAAAUUUAUCAAAACGUUUCUCAAAGAGAAUGUAUUUUCAUUAAAUAAUAAAACCUUGGGAUGUCAUGUUCGAUACAGACAAAAAGCAUAAACAAUAUAAAAUAAAACUUACAACAGUUAUUUAUAACUACUGAUCUAUAAUCCAAAAUCUCUCGUCAAGUCCACCAACUUAUACUCUUGUGCCAUCACCUAUAAUGUAACGAAAACUGAGUGGGUCAGGCUUGAGAGCCUGGUGAGCAUAUAGGGUUUUCAACCCACAAUAAUACAUUUAUUAUAUUCAAUUAUCAAACAAUCAACCCAAAUACCCAUUCCCAUAUCUCCUUUAUUUUCUCAAGGGUUUACCCUAAGAAUCCACUAUCCUUCAUUCAUUCAUUCCUAAGGAUUUAUCUAAGGAAUUGGCACAAGGUCUAUUUGCUACCACAGUUUAUACAACAGGCACGAAGUCACAUCGUCACCAAGGUUUAUCAAAUAGGCAUGAAGUCGCAUCGUCACCAAAGCUUUACUUAAUAGGCACGAAGUCACAUCGUCACCAAGGCUUUACUUAAUAGGCACAAAGUCACAUCGUCACCAAGGCUUUACUUAAUAGGCACGAAGUCACAUCGUCACCAAGGCUUUACUUAAUAAGCACGAAGUCACAUCGUCACCAACUAUUCCAUCUACCCAUGUUCUACCCAACAUUUUUAUAGAUAUAAAUACAAACACAGUUUAAAUCAUGUAACACCCGUAUAAAAACAUCAAUUCCAAGCCCAUCUCAAAUAGACAAAUAAUAUAUAACACAUAACACGUAUUUCAUAGCUAAUACUUUAUAUUUAUGUGUUAGAAGAAAGUAACUAUACACUCACUUGAUCAGAAGAUAAUCGGACAGCACUACGGCUUGUAGAAGUAGUAUUCUUCGAUAGAUCUGGAAGAUCUUCACAAAAACCGGACUUCUCGUGGGCAGAGCUUCGGCUAGGGAAUUUCACUUCUCGGGAUCUUCGGGGCCUCGGGACUUGCUUCGGGGCUCGGGAAUGAUACCGGGGCUUCGGGAUAAUUCUUGCACGAAAAACAAUGCAAAAACGCGAGAUAAAGAGAAGAAAUGAGCAAAGAAGUCGGUUGCCCUCAACACCCUUUUAUAGGGGGCUGGAAACCCAUUUACGCUGGGCGUAACUUUACAUUACGCUGGGCGUAAUGUGGAUCAGAUCGCUGACUCCCCCCAUGGAUAAUAUCGGUUAAUUUAUAAUUAAAUUAAAUAUCGAAAAUAUUUAAUAAACUUCAAAAAUUCAUAUCUUCCUCAUACGAACUCCGUUUUCGAUGUUCUUUAUAUCCCCGCGUAGGUGAGACUACGCUCUACAACUUUCGUUUAGACUCCGUCGGCUAAUUUUGACUUUAUUUUUAUUAUUUAUUUUUAGUAGGCCGGGACAGGAAAACUCCGUUAUAAAUUCAUAACUUCUUCAUCCGACGUCCGUUUUCGCCUAUCUUUUUAUCGUUUCACUACAAUUAAUGAGAUCUUCAAUUCUCAUUUAGAUUGUUUCGGCUAAAAACCGCUCGGUCUCAAAUCGAGUAUUCGGGCUGCAUACCGCUAAGUCGAAACUUCGAAAAAUCAUAACUUCCUCAUACGAAGUCAGAUUUGGGCGUUCUUUUUAUGCACGCUCAUGGUUUAACGUAUUCUACGACUUUCAUUUAGAUUGCUAAGGCUAAAUAUCGCUCUAACGUAAAUUCACUUUUUACGUCGCGCUGUGUCGUGCCGGUUCUGUCGCGAAACUUCGACAGGUCAUAACUUCUUCGUUAUAACUCGGAUUUUGGCGUUCUUUAUAUGUACGGAAUCCUUGUAACAUAUACUAUAACUUAGUUAAGAUUAAUCCUUCUAAAUAAUCUUCCAUCAAAAAGUCAUUUUUGAUGCUUAUCGUCUCUAAAUUGACUAGCCCUGAUCUACGGGCGUUACAAUUAUCUCCCCCUUAGGAUGAUUACGUCCCAGAAUCAUCAACGAAAUAGGAUUCGUAUACUGACACCAUAAGUUAUGUCUCCAUCCUAAGUAAUAACCUUGAUGCUCAAUCCUGCAUCUGCUCUUCGUACUAUGUUGGACUUUCAAUCGUAACCGUCGAGUUAUCAAAUAAGUCCUUAUUGUGGACUCCUUUUUCUUAGGAUGAAUUCUUUCAUUUAUCUAUUGUAACAAACCGAUGGGUCGUGUUCUAAUGACCUCUCAUCGUAUGAUGCAACGCUUAGACUCAAGUCUCUUAGAGUCAAAUUCCAUAAUGGAAUAUACCUUCCUUCAUAUUCUAACGUGAUAUAAUCACAUUUUUACAUGUAGCAUUUCUAGCUACAAGCUUCCUUAACAACGAGCGCAAUGCCAUCGAUCGCAUUGAUUUCAAUCUUCUAACUUAAGUCAAAUGCUACAUCGAACUCGGUUCUCUAAACCACAUAACAAACUCAUCGUAGUCGGACUCAAUUUGAUAUGACCACUAGGGUCAGAAUAUCAAUCAUCUUUUUAGUCAUUACCGAAACAAUGGUAACGACAUACUUGAAUAAAAACGAACUCAAUUACAAGCUUCUUGGUAACCUUGUGACUUUCCCUGAUCCAAGUGUGAGUCCUGUGCUUCCAGUAGUAUAGAUCUCUACUACUAUUCACACCUACUCAUACUCGUCCCAAGUAUUGUCUCGCAGUCCCCAAGUCCUAAAAUCACAAAACAAUUUAACACAUACUAAUGUGUCCAAUUAAUCAUAAAAAUUCUCCUAGACUCUACUAUGACUUCUUCCAUGCGUAUCUUCUAUCAUCAAUCAUACUUCAACUCGAUUGGUGAUGGAAAUUCUAGAUUAUGGGACAACUUCAAGAAUUACACCAAUCGUUUCAUCAUCUUGCCAAUCGAAGGUGUACUUCAGACGUACCGUAAUCCUCUAAAUGUUUCGUUAUUUUAUCAACAUAAACUANCCACUCUUACGAUAUCUUCCGAUAGGUGUCAUUCACUAUCAUAAGCCUUUCAUUUCCUCCAUUUACUCAAUUCUCUAUGAGUCUUCACCAUAACGUUUUGUACAUCCAAGCAGAUGUUCGGUGCACCGGGCGAGAAUUUACAAUAAGAAAGCUUUAUUUACGAUAGAUGUAUAAAUCUCUUUAUCACUCCGAAACGUUUACAUGCUAGUUCUAAUAUCGUAGUCACACGCUUAGAAUCCUAAACACAUAAGGUUUCCAAAUCUGGUCGGCAAUAGGCCAUAGAUCCAAACAAAAAUUUCAUAUAUGGCAAACAUAUAGCAUUUAGCACAUAAAAGCAUUUUAGACAUCUUUCCUAAAAUAUACUAGUGCUCGUGCCUAAAAUAUGGUAGACACUCAUCUCACAAUCAUCGCUUAGCAUUCUAAGUUUAAGUCUAGAAAUCCUACAAAUUCCUAGUUCGCUUAAACUAAUGCUCUGAUACCAACUGUGACAUCCCCAAUUUCACGGCCAGAAAAGACCGAUUUGUUUAUGCUUUGUUUUUAUAAAAUCAGAGUAAUCUUUUGAUUAAAAGAGUUGCGGAAUUUGUUCCCAAAAUAAAAUAUGGUAAAAUUUAUCAAAACGUUUCUCAAAGAGAAUGUAUUUUCAUUAAAUAAUAAAACCUCAGGAUGUCAUUUUCGAUACAGACCAAAAGCAUAAACAAUAUAAAAUAAACAUUACAACAGUUAUUUAUAACUACUGAUCUAUAAUCCAAAAUCUCUCGUCAAGUCCACCAAUUUAUACUCUUGUGCCAUCACCUAUAAUGUAAAGAAAACUGAGUGGGUCAGACUUGGGAGCCUGGUGAGCAUAUAGGGUUUUCAACCCACAAUAAUACAUUUAUUAUAUUCAAUUAUCAAACAAUCAACCCAAAUACCCAUCCCCAUAUCUCCUUUAUUUUCUCAAGGUUUUACCCUAAGAAUCCACUAUCCUUCAUUCAUUCAUUCCUAAGGAUUUACCUAAGGAAUUGGCACAAGGUCUAUUUGCUACCACGGUUUAUACAACAGGCACUACGUCACAUAGUCACCAGAGUUCAUACAAUAGGCACUACGUCUCAUAGUCACCAAGGUUUACACAGCAGGCACGAAGUCACAUCGUCACCAAGGUUUAUCAAAUAGGCACGAAGUCGCAUCGUCAACAAAGCUUACUCAAUAGGCACGAAGUCAUAUCGUCACCAAAGCUUUACUUAAUAGGCACGAAGUCACAUCGUCACCAAGGCUUUACUUAAUAGGCACGAAGUCACAUCGUCACCAAGGCUUUACUUAAUAGGCACGAAGUCACAUCGUCACCAAGGCUUUACUUAAUAGGCACGAACUCACAUCGUCACCAAGGCGUUACUUAAUAGGCACGAAGUCACAUUUAUUUAUAACUACUGAUCUAUAAGCACGAACUCACAUCGUCACCAAGGCGUUACUUAAUAGGCACGAAGUCACAUCGUCACCAACUAUUCCAUCUACCCAUGUUCUACCCAACAUUUUUAUAGAUAUAAAUAAAAACACAGUUUAAAUCAUUUAACACCCGUAUGAAAACAUCAAUUCCAAGCCCAUCUCAAAUAGAUAAAUAAUAUAUAACACAUAGCACGUAUUUCAUAGCUAAUACUUUAUAUUUAUGUGUUAGAAGAGAGUAACUAUACACUCACUUGAUCAAAAGAUGAUCGGACGGCACUACGGCUUGUAGAAGUANUCGGACAGCACUACGGCUUGUAGAAGUAGUAUUCUUCGAUAGAUCUGGAAGAUCUUCACAAAAACCGGACUCCUCGUGGGCAGAGCUUCGGCUAGGGAAUUUCACUUCUCGGGAUCUUCGGGGCCUCGGGACUUGCUUCGGGGCUUGGGAAUGAUACCGGGGCUUCGGGAUAAUUCUUGCACGAAAAACGAUGCAAAAUGAGAGAUAAAGGGAAGAAAUGAGCAAAGAAGUCAGUUGCCCUCGACACCCUUUUAUAGGGGCUGGAAACCCAUUUACGCUGGGCGUAAUGUGGAUCAGAUCGCUGACUCCCCCCAUGGAUAAUAUCGGUUAAUUUAUAAUUAAAUUAAAUAUCGAAAAUAUUUAAUAAAUUUCAAAAAUUCAUAUCUUCCUCAUACGAGCUCCGUUUUCGACGUUCUUUAUAUCCCCGCGUAGGUGAGACUACGCUCUACAACUUUUGUUUAGACUCCGUCGGCUAAUUUUGACUUUAUUUUUAUUAUUUUUUUUUAGUAGGCCGGGACAGGAAAAUUCCGUUAUAAAUUCAUAACUUCUUCAUCUGACGUCCGUUUUCGCCUAUCUUUUUAUCGUUUCACUACUAUUAAUGAGAUCUUCGAUUCUCAUUUAUAUUGUUUCGACUAAAAACCGCUCGAUCUCAAAUCGAGUAUUCGGGCUGCAUACCGCCAAGUCGAAACUUAGAAAAAUCAUAACUUCCUCAUACAAAGUUAGAUUUGGACGUUCUUGUUAUGCACGCUCACGGUUUAACAUAUUCUAUGACUUUUGUUUGGAUCGCUAAGGCUAAAUAUCGCUCUAACGUAAAUUCACUUUUUAAGUCGCGUUGUGUCGUGUCGGUUCUGUCGUGAAACUUCGACAGGUCAUAACUUCUUCGUUAUAACUCGAAUUCCGGCGUUCUUUAUAUGUACGGAAUCCUUGUAACAUAUAUUACAACUUAGUUAAGAUUAUUCAUUCUAAAUAAUCUUUUAUCAAAAAGUCAUUUUUGACGCUUAUCGUCUCUAAAUUGACUAGCCCUGAUCUACAGGCGUUACAUAAAGAAUUUGAGACAACAGAAUCAAAUCUGAUUUGAAUAGGCUGAGGGUUGAUGAGGAAUGUACCAGUCAUAACAUUUAGGUAGUAACGUGUUUCCUUUGUGGUAUAAUAAAAUGUACUAUUUUUAACUUUUGAUUUACCAAUUUAUUAUUAAACUUUUCAAACUUCAUAAUUAUUAGCGGUAUUGAAAACUAUACCCGCUCUUUAUUCUCUAUUGAACCUUCAAUUCUAAUCUUUGAGUUAAAACUCAAUUCUCAUUGCAGACUCCUGCUCCUUCUCGGUUUAUAGACUAAACCCAAGAUAAGGUCUUUACUUUUGCUAUAACAACAACUCAAAUGGUCAUAUUCUAAUGACCUUUGAUUUUAUAUCGCACAAGACACAUAACGAACCAAACUAUUGUAUUAGAAUCAGAUCGAAUAAAUCGAGUUGAUGGAAUAAAGAAAAAAAAGAGUUUGAUCAACAUGUGGAUGCUUCGAAACAGAAAGAAUAACAGCACGUAUCUCUAAUUCGUGCUUUCGGGUAUACACAUCAGUUUUGUCAAAUGACAGAAUAUUUCGAUUGAUUAUGUAAUCACGAAUUUCAUACUAUAAUCCUUCCAUGAAUAAUUAAAUUCUUCAUCGUCUUUAUAAUAGGUAACAUUUCCAGUAAAUGGUUGCUCACUCCUUUAAUGAAGAUCCUUAUAUUUCUGAACCAAUCAUCUUAGUUCGCGGAUUUAUACUAAUCGAACUUGGUUCUUUAUGAGCACUAAAGUUCGAAUGAAAAUCAUCUUCUUAAUCAUCACCGAAACGAAGGUAAUGACAUACUCAAACAAAAACGGAAUUGACUUCUUGCUUCUUGGUAACCUUGUGACUUUCCCUGAUCCAAGUGUAAGUCCUGUGCUUCCAGUAGUAUAGGCCUCUACUACUAUUCACACCUACUCAUACUUGUCCCAAGUAUUGUCUCGCAGCUCCCAAGUUACUACUCAAAAGUUUUCACAAAGUGACUUAUCACACAUUAAUGUAUUCAAACAAGUACAUACAACAGUUUCCUCUAAACUCAAUUAAGGAUUUCACGUUUCUAUCAAACAUAUCUUGGAUUUCCUAUAUUCGCCUUCUAGGAUUCUUUUCUUGCAUAUGCUUGAUCUAGCAUAUUUUAAUACUUUUCCGAGGUUACUAAGAAUUUCACUUCCAAAUUCUUCGUAUAAAUUCUUUCUAGGGUAGUGUCUACUCUGCAAGACAUGCAAUACCAAAAUUUACUCUUGUAGCGUGAAGACAAACGGUUUCCAAAUACCUGCAUCAUCUCCUAACUCAUAUAAUUCACCAUGCACAUUUGUUCAUUUCAUUAUUCUUCCUUGACAUUGUCAUUCCUGUAUAUGUGUAAGUCUUCUUUUCUUAGGUGUAUUCCUUUAAGUCUACUUCAUAGGAGUCUAUCCUAGGAAGUACGCAAUAUAGUUGCAUCUCGGCAAGCUCUACUAGCUUCAACUUGGUUCUCUAUCAUUCCUGACUACAACAUCUCUUCUCAUACGAUAUAAUGGGUGUAUUUCUUCUUCAAUUAAGCAUUCUACCUAACUUAGACAAGUAAGUUUCUUAACAUUUUGGAACUUCCAUAAGGAUGUGAUAGUAGUUAGCCAUCACUCAGCAUUAUUAAAUACUAACUCUGAGCAUCCUGUAUAAUAUUACUACUUGAACUACAUAUUACAUCACAAAGUCUUGGCCUAUUGAGUCUGAAAAAAAAAACUUCAUUAGCCUUUCCUUUGAUCUUUAUUUAAUUCUUCUAAAUGUUGUACCACAUCAAUUGAGAUACUAUCGAAGUAUUAAUCGCCAUCUUUGGUUCUUCCGACUCUCUAAACAAUCACUGCUUCAAUCUGAACAACGGGGAAAACAACUUUGUGGAUUUGCACCAACACAUUUAUCUCGCCCAAACGUGUUUCAAAUGCACGUCAUUCUUCCAAAGAUGUUAUUAUAUCAUUAUAUAUACUUUGAAGGUACAAUACCACUCUAUAAGUAUUAAUACACUAUUUACGAUAACACUUCAUAAAUAUUAUUUUAUGAUAUUUUGCAAUUGUUUAUUUAUAAACAUAUCGAUUUCGAACCUUAAACUUUCUCAAAUAAUAACAAUUAUGAUAAGCACUCUAAUGCAUGCUAUAUUCAUCUAUCAUUUAGCACAUAAUAGAAUAUAAGGCAUAUCUCCUCUUAAUAUUCUAGUGCUUGUCUCCAUUAGGUAUUCAACCUAAAAUAUACCAGAUACAUAUCGUAUCAUCUUUACUUGAUAAUUCUUGUUUAAGUUUAGAAAUACUCAAAAUUUCUAGUUCACUUAAACUAAUUUUCUUAAAAUUCUGAAGUAACUUAAUAUCUUAGAAUACAAGGGUUUAUCACUACCCAAUCCCCCACUUAAAUAUUUCCUAUGGUUUGUAUCCAUAUACUUAUUAUGAAUCAACUCAUAUAUUGAGCUUCCAACAGUUUAAGUCUAAAUACCAAUCCGUGAUAUUUAGUUCACUUAAACCAUUGCUCUGAUACCAUGAUUGAAAGACCCCAACUUUCGUAUUUCUGAAAGACCCAAACUUUCAUACUAUUCCAACAUUAUUCUUAAGUUACUUCCUCAAAACAUGCUACAUGCAUAUUUAUACAAAACAAUAUUUUAUAUUGAUAAAGUGAUUACAAAAGAUUGGAUACAAAACCAACUAAGUUUUAUUACAUUACAUAUCUACCCAGGAAUCUACUAUUCAUAUACAUACAUGAACAUUAAAAUACAGAGAAAUAGUAUUAACUAUUCUAAAUCUUUCAGCAGUAUAAAACUAUAUUGGAUACUCAUCACCUGCAAAACAUUGAGAGGGAUAAGCGAUAACGCUUAGUGAAUUCAAUAAAUAGAUACAAUAUAAUCUUAUGCCUUAUAUAUACCAAUAUGACAGAAGCAAUAGGGAACAAGAACGACAAUAGCAUAUGCGUAUCAUAUGUCAGGCUUUCAAUAUCAAAUCAAGAUUUGGUUCAAAGAUUUACGAUCAAUGAGACAUAAUGAUUUCAAUACUUGAUAUGCAUCAAUAAAGCUUUGGCUUAAAUGGCACAGAAGACAUAUAAUUUCCGAUUAACAUUUUGGUAGAUUACAGGCUUAUAGCCCUGUCUAACCAUUUGCCAAUACCAUAGAAUAGAGGUCAUUCUCUUACGGAGUCAUGCUCUACAUGGUCAGAGGCUACAUACCAGUCCCAUCUAACCUUUUGCCAAUG
rnacentral:lncRNA from 1 species